GAUGAAGAACGUAGCGAAAUGCGAUAAGUAGUGUGAAUUGCAGAAUUCAGUGAAUCAUCGAAUCUUUGAACGCACCUUGCGCCCUUUGGCUAUUCCGAAGGGCAUGCCUGUUUGAGUAUCAUGAACACCUCAACUCUCAUGGUUUGCCAUGAUGAGCUUGGACUUUGGGGGUCUUGCCGGCCUAUGGGUCGGCUCCUCUCAAAUUAAUCAGCUUGCCAGUGUUUGGUGGCAUCACAGGUGUGAUAACUAUCUACGCUUGUGGUUUUCCAUCAGGUAACCUUCAGUGAUGGAGGUUCGCUGGGGCUCAUAAAUGUCUCUCCUCAGUGAGGACAGCUUUUUUGAACGUUUGAUCUCAAAUCAGGUAGGACUACCCGCUGAACUUAAGCAUAUCAAUAAGCGGAGGA
rnacentral:misc_RNA from 1 species